GACGAACGCUGGCGGCGUGCUUAACACAUGCAAGUCGAACGGAAAGGCCCUGCUUUUGUGGGGUGCUCGAGUGGCGAACGGGUGUGUAACACGUGAGUAACCUGCCCUUGACUUUGGGAUAACUUCAGGAAACUGGGGCUAAUACCUGAUAGGAGCUCCUGCUGCAUGGUGGGGGUUGGAAAGUUUCGGCGGUUGGGGAUGGACUCGCGGCUUAUCAGCUUGUGGGUGGGGUAGUGGCUUACCAAGGCUUUGACGGGUAGCCGGCCUGAGAGGGUGGCCGGCCACAUUGGGACUGCGAUACGGCCCAGACUCCUACGGGAGGCAGCAGUGGGGAAUAUUGCACAAUGGGCGGAAGCCUGAUGCAGCAACGCCGCGUGCGGGAUGACGGCCUUCGGGUUGUAAACCGCUUUCGCCUGUGACGAAGCGUGAGUGACGGUAAUGGGUAAAGAAGCACCGGCUAACUACGUG
rnacentral:rRNA from 1 species